UACGUAGGGUGCAAGCGUUGUCCGGAAUUAUUGGGCGUAAAGAGCUCGUAGGCGGUCUGUCGCGUCGGAUGUGAAAAUCCAGGGCUCAACCCUGGACCUGCAUUCGAUACGGGCAGACUAGAGUUCGGUAGGGGAGACUGGAAUUCCUGGUGUAGCGGUGAAAUGCGCAGAUAUCAGGAGGAACACCGGUGGCGAAGGCGGUUCUCUGGGCCUUACCUGACGCUGAGGAGCGAAAGCGUGGGGAGCAAACAGG
rnacentral:rRNA from 1 species